AUACUGGAAUGCUUGGCUCUCUACAAGGUCAGCAAGACAAUAAGAGCCUUCAUCAAGAACUCGAUGGGCAAGUGGAAAACAACUCUAGAAGCCAAUUCCAGGACAAUAACUCAAGUGAACAUUAAAUGUGGCAUAUACCAAGGUGAUGCGCUAUCCCCAAUGCUGUUCUGCAUAGGCCUCAACCCCCUCAGCUAGAUCAUCAAGA